UUCGGCCUCGCACUGCUUCUUCAGUGCCCUCUACAUGCCGUCGCCGAAGCAUCCCCAAUUCGAAUCAGUACGCGAUCCUUUCGCCAUCUAGCGGCGCGGC
rfam:Pseudomonas sp. TRMO17WK12:I11 isolate Yellow genome assembly, chromosome: 1